AGAGUUUGAUCAUGGCUCAGAAUGAACGUUGGCGGCGUGGAUUAGGCAUGCAAGUCGUACGGGCCGCAAGGCCAGUGGCGCAAGGGUGAGUAAGGCGACGGCAACCAACCCCAUGGUCGGGCAUAGCCGAGGGAAACCUCGGGUAAUUCCCGGCGACGUGGCGGGGGGGCAUCCCCCGGCCACCACAGGUGCGAUUCCGCCGUGGGACGGGCCGUCGUGGUAUUAGGUAGUUGGCGGGGUAACGGCCCACCAAGCCUGCGAUGCCUACCGGGCGUGCGAGCGUGGCCCGGCACACUGGGACUGAGACACUGCCCAGACUCCUACGGGAGGCUGCAGUCGAGAAUCUUCGGCAAUGGGCGCAAGCCUGACCGAGCGACGCCGCGUGGAGGACGAAGGCCUUCGGGUUGUAAACUCCUGUCGAGGGGGAGGAAGGCCGCGCGAAGAGCGUGGCUUGACCGAUCCCUGGAGGAAGCACGGGCUAAGUUCGUGCCAGCAGCCGCGGUAAGACGAACCGUGCGAACGUUAUUUGGAAUCACUGGGCUUAAAGCGCGUGUAGGCGGGCCGGCACGUCCGGUGCUGAAAUCCCCCGGCUCAACCGGGGAA
rnacentral:rRNA from 1 species